rnacentral:rRNA from 1 species
GAUGAACGCUGGCGGCGUGCCUAAUACAUGCAAGUCGAGCGAACGGACGAUAAGCUUGCUUCUCUGAUGUUAGCGGCGGACGGUUGAGUAACACGUGGAUAGCCUACCUAUAAGACUGGGAUAACUUCGGGAAACCUGACCUAAUGCCGGAUAUUAUUUUGAACCGCAUGGUUCAAAAGUGAAAGACGACCUUGCUGUCACUUAUAGAUGGAUCCGCGCUGCAUUAGCUAGUUGGUAAGGUAACGGCUUACCAAGGCAACGAUGCAUAGCCGACCUGAGAGGGUGAUCGGCCACACUGGAACUGAGACACGGUCCAGACUCCUACGGGAGGCAGCAGUAGGGAAUCUUCCGCAAUGGGCGAAAGCCUGACGGAGCAACGCCGCGUGAGUGAUGAAGGUCUUCGGAUCGUAAAACUCUGUUAUUAGGGAAGAACAUAUGUGUAAGUAACUGUGCACAUCUUGACGGUACCUAAUCAGAAAGCCACGGCUAACUACGUG